GCGCAGGCGCAGAAAGGAAUUUCCAAGGAAUGGCCGCAGCCUCCGCCGGGCCGAGGAGAACUAGGCUCUGCGCAUGCGCAUAGAAACCUGAGCGAGUCCCGUGAAAACACAAACAAGCGGCGAAGCGGGGGCGGAGGUCGCUCUGUGGCGGGUCGCCGUCCCGGAGCCCGUGGGGGAGGGGCGCCUAUGAGGUACAAGAGGGCUAAAAUUUCACUAGAGCCAUAACUAGAAUGGACAAUUACUUUAAAGCAGCAGUCUGUGACUUGGACAAACUACUUGAUGAAUUUGAGCAAAAUACAGAUGAACUUGACUGCUACAGAACAGCUGCAAACCAGUGUGAUUCAAUACAGCAUUCAGUCUCUUCAGAAUUGGAUUGCUUACAACCUGUAUUCCUCAUACCAAAAGUGCAAGAAUAUGUUAGCAGUUGUAGUAUGUCAGAAGAAUUCUCUCUAGCCAGUCAGGCUAUAACAAAUACAGCAAAGUUUGAACUGAAUUCCUCAGCACAAAAUGAGAAAAAUGUUACUGGACUUGAUCUUCUGUCUACUGUGGAUGGUGGUGCCUCAAAUGAAAUUCAGCCUUUGAGCCUGGGGAGGUGUAGUAUACCUGUAUGUGAUCUCAUCAGUGACACAGGUAAUUUGAUCCAUUCAACGAGUAAUCAUGAAGAUAUUGAGAAGCUGCAGCCAGAUGACUUCCAGUGCAAUGAGAAUUCUUUGGUUGGCUUUGAUUUAUCUUUAGUACCAGCUACAGUUUGUAGUUUGUCAGUAGCUUUCAGUGGUGUUUCAGGCACAGAACAACAGAAUGGUGGGGACACAACACCACAAGAUGCAGGACAUGUUGCAACAAAAGAGUUGAGCCAGUUGGAUUUUAAAACACACAAUCGUGGUAAAGCAAAGCUCUCCGAUUCAUGUGAUGGUCAAAAUAGGACAGAAACUUUAAAGGAUAUUCAGAUAUUUGAUCAGCUGGAACAAAUUACAGGCCUUAACGCUACAUCUGCCUUUGUAACAUCACAGAGCCCAAAAGCUCUCAGUUCCAAAGAUGACACAACCAUUGAAAAGCUGCCUUGUGAAUCAUUAAAAGAUGAAAGUCAGUGCUGUAUGAUAAGUCAAGAGGCACCUGAAGAGAGUGUUAAUGACAAUGUAGAUUCAAAAGAUGACGGUAAUGGGGAAUCCUUGCCUUCUGAUCUGCCAAAGAGUUCUGAAUUACACAAAAACAGUUUAAAAUUAUCUGGAAAGUGUGUUAUACCAGACUCUUCAUCUCAAAUAGAGGAUAGAGUAGUACUAGAUAAGAUGAAAAGUGCAGAAGAAAACAUGUGCAGUCCAGAACUUAAUACCAAUGAAAUAUUGCACAGUGUUUCAAAUUCACAUGUAACUGCUGAAGAUAUCCAAACCUCAUUGUCAUGUCUUCCACUUGCUGUAUCCAUAUGUGGUUCAUUAGUUGUAACAGAAGACAAAAGUGAUCAUAUACCUCAGAAUGAAAAAGCAGAUGUCAUCAGUGAUACUGUGACUAUGCAUGCAGGAAAAUCUAAGCAUGGAUUCCCCAGUAUGGAAUCCUCUGGAAAGAUGAAACCUUCUGAACAGGAAGGAUAUCUAAACCAAAUCAACCAAUGCUUUGUAGAAGAAGCUAUAACUAUAGAUGGAAAGAAGAGGGAAUCUGACAACAAAAUUAAUAAAGGUGAUUCUCCCCAAAUGCACGCUGCUGCUGCUGGCCCUGUUGGAGAAGCUAAAAUUGAACUGUGCAGUGAUGGUAUUCAGCCAGUUGACAGUCAUGAUCAAAGUAUUACUUGUCCAGUUUUAGCUGACUUAACUAUUGAGGAAUACUUAAUUGAAAGUGAUUCACUGAUUAGUGAUGCUGAGCUUGAUGCCUUCUUAUCUGGACAGAGUCUUCAGCCCAAUAAUUCACAGCCCUUUGAAGAAGGCAUGGACGACCUGCUGGAGCCUGAUGCAAAUCAGGCAAACAACCUGGAUUUCAGAAAGGUCAAUGAUUCACAAACAAAAGCAAAACUGGAGGAGAUUGGAGAGAUUUCCAGUAUUAAUAGUACUUGUAGAAUAGCUGAUAUUGAAUAUAAAUUGGAGUCUCCCCCAGAAAAAAGUACAUAUCCUAUUCAACAAGAGGCCUCUAACCAUAUAACUGAGACUCGUAUUGAAGUACCUGUCCCUACUCUUAGCCAUCAGAAUGUACAUAUUGGAGGUGCUAGACCUAAACAGUUGCUUAAUCUUUCUCAAAGAACUGUAAUUGAGAGAGAGUUCAGCAAGCCAGAUAUGCCUAGGACUGAAUUCCAGGAAGUGAAUUCUUUACCGCCAAAGGCCUCUCUCUCAGAAACCAAAACUAGUACUGAUAUAAGCUCCAAAUGUAAUCCAUCUGAUACAGAAAACUCCUUGGAAGCAGGCGGAAGUUGUGUGCCUGCAAGUGUAGAACUUGGUAAAGAACCUCUAGUUCUGGGACUAAAACAGCCACCCUGGGUUCCCGAUUCAGAGGCACCCAACUGCAUGAACUGCCAAGUCAAGUUCACGUUUACAAAAAGAAGACACCACUGUCGUGCAUGUGGGAAAGUGUUCUGUGGUGUCUGUUGCAAUCGGAAGUGCAAGCUGCAGUACACUGAAAAGGAAGCAAGAGUCUGCAUUGGCUGUUACAAAUCUAUUAAUAAAGCACAGGCAUUUGAAAGGAUGAUGAGUCCAACUGGUACUAUCCCUAAUUCCAGUGUCUCCUCUGAAUAUUGUUCUACUGUUCCACCUUUGCAGGAAGCCCAGACAGUUGGCACACCUAAUUCUCCUUCAUCUUCUCUUUUGUUACCUAUCUCUGUACUUAAACAACCAGGUGCUGAUGGGCUAUGCGCCAGAGAACAGAGGAGAGUCUGGUUUGCAGAUGGUAUUUUGCCUAAUGGUGAAGUUGCAGACACAACAAAACUAUCUUCUGGAGUCAAGAAGUCUUCACAAGAGCUGAGUCCAGCAAGCCCUGACUUACCAGAGGUGCAUAUGGUUGCAAGUCCGGCAGAUGACAUCUGUGUAACUGAUACAAAACCAAAGGAUGAAAUUGCAGUUUCUGCAGGAACUGAGAAAUUCCAUUGUUCCUUACAUGUUGCUCCAGAUGAUGAUCAGUUGCCCACUGCAGUGCAAACUGAGAUGUUGCAUAGUCUUGACUCUCUAAUUCCAGCUGCUGAUGAAUUACCUUUUAUUACAAAAGUUGAGAAGUCUCCUAGCCUUGGAACAGUGAACCAAACUAAUGAUGAUUCACUUGUUAGUCCUUCAGACUACAGAAUGCUAUGUGGUAUUGAAAACUGUGUUAGCAAAGAAUUUAGCCUUAUUCCUGAUGACGAUGGACUGCCACCUCUCUUACUUGCAACUGGAGAAAAAGGAAAAGAUCCUCUGGUGGAAGAACACCCAUCUCAUCAGCAGGUCACCUUGCUUCUUGCAGAAGGAGGCCCUAAUCCAUUAACAUUUAUCCUAAAUGCAAACCUCCUUGUGAAUGUCAAGUUAGUAUCUUAUUCUUCAGAAAAGUGCUGGUACUUCUCAACAAAUGGAUUACAUGGCUUGGGUCAGGCAGAAAUUAUCAUUAUGUUGCUAUGUUUGCCAAAUGAAGAUGCUGUUCCUAAAGAAAUCUUCACGUUGUUUGUUGACAUAUAUAAGGAUGCAGUGAAAGGAAAAUACAUAGGAAACUUGGAAAAUUUUACCUUUACUGAAAGCUUCCUUGGUAGCAAGGAUCAUGGAGGAUUCCUGUUUGUUGCACCAACUUUUCAAAAACUUGACGAUCUCCUGUUACCAAAUAAUCCUUUCCUUUGUGGCAUUCUCAUUCAAAAACUGGAAAUACCAUGGGCAAAGGUUUUUCCAAUUCGCUUAAUGUUGGGAUUGGGAGCAGAAUACGGGGCCUACCCAACUCCUGUAACAAGCAUCAGACACCGAAAGCCUCUCUUUGGGGAGAUAGGACACACAAUCAUGAACUUACUUGUUGACCUUAGAAAUUAUCAAUAUACCUUGCAUACCAUAGAUAAUUUAUUUAUUCAUAUGGAAAUGGGUAAAAGCUGCAUUAAAAUCCCUCUGAGGAGAUAUGAUGAAGUAAUGAAAGUAAUACAUUCUUCUAAUGAGCAUGUUAUUAGCAUUGGAGCCAGUUUUAGCACUGAAGCAGAUUCUCACUUAGUUUGUGUACAGAGUGAUGGAGUCUAUCAGACACAAGCAAACAGUGCUACUGGCCACCCUAGGAGAAUUACAGGUGCAAGUUUUGUAGUGUUCAAUGGAGCCCUAAAAACAUCUUCAGGAUUUCUUGCUAAAUCAAGUAUAGUUGAAGAUGGACUAAUGGUACAAAUAACUCCAGAGACGAUGGAAGGUUUACGUCAAGCUUUAAGGGACAAGAAGGACUUUAAAAUUACAUGUGGCAAAAUGGAUGCAGAAGAAUUAAAAGAAUACGUAGAUAUUUGCUGGGUAGAGAGUGAAGAAAAAGUAAACCAAGGAGUUGUAAGCCCAGUAGAUGGAAAGUCAAUGGAAGGAAUUCAAAGUGAAAGAAUACUACAGGGAGAUUUUGACACUGAGGAAAAACUUAUGAAGUGUACUGAAGUGUUCUAUAUCCUAAAGGACCAUGAGCUAUCCAGCGCAACACCCCAUCAGUUUGCAAAAGAGAUUGCUGUAGCUUGCAGUGCUGCUCUUUGCCCACAUCUCAAAACGCUGAAAAAUAAUGGAAUGAAUAAGAUAGGUCUCAGAGUCUCUAUUGAUACUGAUAUGGUUGAGUAUCAGUUAGGAUCUGGAGGCCAACUUCUUCCACAGCAUUAUCUAAAUGACCUGGACAGUGCUCUGAUUCCUGUGAUCCAUGGUGGGACAUCAGACCCCACAAGCUUACCAUUGGAAAUGGAAUUAAUAUUUUUUCUUACAGAAUACCUCUUUUAAUAUAAAUGACAGCGUAUAUUAUACUAUGUAUAAUCUGAUUUGCUAGAACUAACCCAACACCAAAGCUGUAAUGAUACCAACACUAAAAAAAGUUAAGAUUUAUUUAAAAAAAACCCAACAGCUAAGUUUAGUAAUAGAUUUUUAAACUGGGUUUUGUUUCUAAUAAAUGAACCAACUCUCCUCCAUCCCCAGCAUAAAAAAGAAGGAUUGGAGAGUUUAAGAUUUCCUAAGAUUCCGAAACUUUACACUUAAUACAGUCACUGAAAAAAGGCAAGGACUCAUUACCUCUAAGCAAACUGUAGCAUUUACUAUGUGCAUUGUAAGGUUAAGCCAUAUACUUCUUAAACCCAAGCAAAUAUUUUAGUAACAGUCGUUAUGAUUAGAUGUAACCUAAAUCUGGGACACUCCAUCUGGAUGUGCAAAUGAGCUAUAUUUACAUUUUUAAAAAAUCUUGUAAAGUAUAUUUAAUUGGUACAGUACUGUUACUUGCUGUGGAGAUCCAAAUAUAAAAUCUCUGAGGGUUGGCUGCAAACAACGGAUACUGUAUACUUAUAAUAUAUGGAAUUUGCCUGCACAAUCGGAUAUUGAUUGUGUGGGAAGAAUCGAACAAAACUUUGCCAGUUUCUCUUUGCUUGGUUCUGCUAUUGCACUUGGAGUGUAGACUGCUCUUAAAAAAGGAAUUGCUGUGUUUAUGUCCAAAUACAGCUUUAGGCAAUAGCCUGUAAUUUACCAACAAAUGAAUGGACCAGAAUGAAUUGUUUCAUAGUAACUUUCCUGGUUUGGAAGACAAACCACACUCAUGGCUCCUGGCCAAAAACUGAGGCUCUUUUAAGAAAGGUGCAGUAGUAUAAUCAGUGAUGAACAUAAAAGAAUGGAGCAGAAAGGGCCACGUGCACUCCAACUUCUGGUUAAUCAGUCUAUGCUUUAAUUUUUUUUAGUUUUUAGUCCUAAUGCCUAUGAAAAACACCCUACCAAAUGUGAGCUGAAUACAAACUAAAGCUCUGCACAGUCUACUGGAGACUGUGUGAGUGUGGACUCCCCUUCCCCCAACUACCCAACAAAAAAUCUCUUUAUCUUAAUUGUGUGUCAACAUAGACUGUUGCUGCAGGAUGGAGAAAGUAUCGAUAUUAACAAUUUAUCAUCAGUCUCCUUCAUAUGCAGACUUGCACCAAAAUAACAAAAGAUACAAAUAAAACCCAACUUAAUUAUUUUGCAUCUGUGUGGGGACAAUGCAUAGACAUACACCAAAAUAACUACGGCCUGGUCUACCCUAGAAAGUUUUAUUGACGUAAGUCACCUUGCAUCAACCUAGCUGUAUAUGUCUUUACGCUGAAAAUUUUCUUUAGCCAAUGUGAGCACCCCGUUACAAUGACGCAAUAACACCACCUUCCCAAAUAGUGUUGAGCUAUGGUCGACACAGUGCAAAAGUAAACACAGUGUGAUGUCUUUCAGCCUCAAUAGUAUUCCAGCAGCUGUCUCACAAUUGUGAACUCCAGUGCCCAGCGGUCAGAGACCGGAAGCCAAACCUCCUCUUUAAAAAUCUUUUGUGUUUUGAAAUGCCUUUUCCUGAUUGCCCAGCUUGGCGAGCACACCUAGCAGCUCUUCCUUGUGCACAAGUGCUCAACCGACCAGGCUGGCUCAAUGCUCUAGAUGCAUUCCUGCUUGGAGCAGAUGGGAGGUAUUGGAUCUCCUGGGCCUGUGGGGAGAAGAAACUCUGCAAGCACAGAUAGGGAAUUGUCAUAGUAACAUGGAUAUUUACUAAAAGAUUGCACAGGGGAAGCAGGUCAGGGGGUAGAAUGAGUACAGUGCUGCAUGAAAGCAAAGGAACUGCAGUGGGCAUACUACAAGGCCAGGAAGGCCAACAGUCUAUCUGCUGCCAUGUCACAGACCUGUCAAUUUUUGCAACAAGCUGCAUGCCAUACUUAAUGGAGAUCCCACCAGCACCCUGCAGACCACUGUCGAUACAUCUGAGGAGCUGGAGACAGAGACCCCUGUUGUUAACAGCAAGCAGGAAGAAGAGGAUGGGGGACCUGCAGCAGGGUAAGGGUCCAACUAUGCCUAUGCUGUGAGCCAAGACCUGGUUGAGACUCCACCGGAGACUAGCCAGUCCCACCAGCCAAACACAGACAAGCCCAGUGCAAUGGAAGGAACCUUGGGUAAGUGUAUGCAUACAUUUUUCCUCACGGUGUUUACAUGUACAUAUAAUGCUUGGCCACACUCUGACUUAGCAGGACACGGGUAUAGACUUUACGUUGUUUUAUUUGUACUAGACAAGGCAGCAACACAAAAAAGGGGGUAGAGUUGGUAUCCGCCUGUCAUUCUCCUGUCGAAUUUGGGGAUGGGAGGCGUGGAGCAGUUUGUUCAUGUACACAGGCUGUGUCUUGUAUCCUUGAGUGAUCUUGAUAAAACUUUCAUGGAGGUACUCUGCAGUUCUCUCCUGACGGUUUCUAGGGAUGGCAGCCUUGUUUUUAACUCUGUGAUAGGAUACUUUCCUACCUCACUCUGUGAUGACUUUGGCAGGCACAGUCACAGUAAACAGGCGAGCAGCAUACAGGCCCUGGUGGCUUUGGGAUGCCAACAGCCAUUGUGCUACAAGUGCCUUUUUUUAAACUCAGGAGUGAGAGAUCUGCUAAAAUCGCUGCCUCCUGUGAAAAACAGUGCCAUUGCCUUUAUUCAUACCCAUGGAAAUAAAGGCAGAAAUUCUGUUCUAUGCAACUGAACAACUCUCCUUUCUUCCUCCCGCCCCUGUCCUGGCUGGGUCAUACUCAUGGCUGGGACUGGAGAAAGGAGAACUGUGAUGUGCAGGGGUGCUCCAAAGCUGAAAUGUCAAUAAGUAUGUCUUACUUGAAAAUGCUUAUAGGAGUAAGGAAAGGGAGUUCUGAAAUUUAGCUUUCACUUUCCUAUGUGACUAUAAAUAAAGUGAUACAUCUGUGUGUGUUAUCUGUAGCUACUGUCAUUGCAGCCUUCAGGGGUGCCCCUCCACUUGCUUGGAAUGCCAGACCCGAAGAGGAGAAAGAAGAGGGUAUGUUCAGUGCUAUCCUGCAAGUCAGUGCUGCACUGGAUUGUGAACAGAGGACCUAGAGGGUCAAUAUAGCAGCCAACAUGAAGAAGGCAAGUAAUGGAUGGUGGUGGAUGCCUUUGUAAAUUAAAGAAGGAGCAGUAAGUCAGGGGGAAGUGUCCUCUGGGCCUGAGCCAGUCCACAGGCUGGGCCUAUACGUUUGACAUCCGUGAAUUAAGGCAUAUUCAGAAACAGUCAGUUUCCAUGUAAAGACCAAGUGAUGGAAAAAACUUCAUCUCUUGCUAAAUUGUUCCAGUGAUUAAUUAUCCUCUGUUAAAAAUUUGCACUCUAUUUCCAGUUUUACUUUAUUGAGCUUUGACUUCCAGCCAUUGAAUUCUAUUAUUGUACUCACGUUUUGGGAGCUCAAGCUGUUCCUUGUUAAAGGCUCUUCAGCUGCAGUAUGUUAUAAAAUCAAGAUGAAUUUCCAAAAAAUAUAAAUUUAUUGCAUACCAAAACCAGUAAAGAAACUAUGUGUAAGUUAAAAAUAAAGACAAUAAAACAAAUUAACAGAACUUUACAAGGAGAAAGAACCCUUAUGUCCACUUCAAUCCACUUUGGUUACACACACUGACCUAUGAGAGCCACAACUGCUGAAUAUGUGAAACUGUGGUCAUCUUUACUGUCCCCUUUUGGAGAUUGGUUGGGGUAAGGCAGUGGCCUCUGAUGUCACAUGGAAUGUUGUAGGGGUGCAGGGAGGUGCUAAAAUUGAGUUCUCCAUUGACUGCAACAGGAGAUGAGCCCAUGAUUGUUGAACCUAUAGGUCAACAAAAGUGCAGCAUUUGUGGUUGUUGCUGGAGAAGACCCCCUGUGUCCUGGUGAAUCUCCUCCCUCUUCUGCUGGGACUUUCUCCUUUCUGCUUUUUCAUUCUCCAUGUUGGCUGGUAAGGUAAGAAUCUUUUUUGCUAGCAGUGGCUAUUGGGGCUGCACUUGCAUCCUGCACCCAACAAUGUACCAGAGGGCAAAAAGGGCACAGCAGGGCCAAACAUCCCUGAGUUCCUUCUUACAGCCCAGGGCUGUGAGAUGUUACUGCAAGCAGCAUCUCUACCUUAUGCACACUUGCACAUUUUAAACAAAUUUAUUGUAUAUAGUUAUCUCUUUAGUAGUUAGGAUAAUUUGUAUAGAUUUCUGUUGUGGGUAAAAUUUUGUUUUUUGAUUGCCAGGUACUGGGCUUUCAGCUCUUAUGAUGGAGCAAAAGUCUUCGGGGUUUCAAAUAUUGUCCCUCAAAGGGCAGCUAUACCCUUCAAUGAUGGGCAUACGUAUGUCUAUGCUGCCAGAAACUAAGAACAGUACGUGAUGAGUAAGGUAAAUCAACCAAGUUGUCAACAGCUUCAGAGACUGCCACUACAUUUGAUUAGGCCCCCAAAUGAGUGGCAUUGCAACCUCACAUACAGAAUCACCAUGCCGCUUGUUUGGGGGCCUAAUCAAAUGUGUUUUUACAGCAGUGUUCAAGGUUUCCACAAACUUUAUUCAAAUUCACGAUUUCUGUGACAAAACCAUAACACCGUUUAUACCAGACAAAAAGCAACUGAGAGCCUGAAUGGGGUUAAAUCUCCCCUCUUUGAAUUACACAGGAGAGGUAGGCAGGGAUGUCCAUUGUCGUCUUUACUUUUUGCAUUGGGCGGGUAGCCUUUUACGCAGAGGAUAAGAAAUGAAUUUAUCAGAAGAAUAAAACUUUCAGAAACCUAUCAGAAAAUAGGUUUACAUGCUAAUGAUGUAUUGUCAAACAUGAGCAUUUCCCUACAACUAGUAUCUAAACCAAUUCAUGACUGGAAAAUAUCUGGCUUUGAAGUAAUAUAUGCCAAAUCUGAAAUGCUGGGGAGAACUUUGUUGUACUCUGAAAAGUCAUCAUCCAAAAAACACUUGGGCAACGUAUUCUAUGCUUGGAAUUCAAAUCUCAUCACAGAAGAACUGAAUGAUUUUAAUGCCAAACCAUUACUUCAAGGG